rnacentral:rRNA from 1 species
AUUGAACGCUGGCGGCAGGCCUAACACAUGCAAGUCGAACGGUAACAGGAAGCAGCUUGCUGCUUUGCUGACGAGUGGCGGACGGGUGAGUAAUGUCUGGGAAACUGCCUGAUGGAGGGGGAUAACUACUGGAAACGGAAGCUAGUACCGCAUAACUUCGCAAGACCAAAGAGGGGGACCGUCGGGCCUCUUGCCAGCGGAUGUGCCCAGAUGGGAUUAGCUAGUAGGUGGGGGAACGGCUCACCUAGGCGACGAUCCCUAGCUGGUCUGAGAGGAUGACCAGCCACACUGGAACUGAGACACGGUCCAGACUCCUACGGGAGGCAGCAGUGGGGAAUAUUGCACAAUGGGCGAAAGCCUGAUGCAGCAAUGCCGCGUGUAUGAAGAAGGCCUUCGGGUUGUAAAGUACUUUCAGCGGGGAGGAAGGAAGUAAAGUUAAUACCUUUGCUUAUUGACGUUACCCGAAGAAAAAGCACCGGCUAACUCCGUG